GACGAACGCUGGCGGCGUGCCUAAUACAUGCAAGUCGAACGAGAGCAACCGGUGCUUGCACUGGUCAAUCUAGUGGCGAACGGGUGAGUAACACGUGGGUAACCUGCCCAUCAGAGGGGGAUAACAUCCGGAAACGGAUGCUAAAACCGCAUAGGUCUUCGAACCGCAUGGUUUGAAGAGGAAAAGAGGCGCAAGCUUCUGCUGAUGGUUGGACCCGCGGUGCAUUAGCUAGUUGGUGAGGUAACGGCUCACCAAGGCCGUGAUGCAUAGCCGACCUGAGAGGGUGAUCGGCCACAUUGGGACUGAGACACGGCCCAGACUCCUACGGGAGGCAGCAGUAGGGAAUCUUCCGCAAUGGACGCAAGUCUGACGGAGCAACGCCGCGUGAGUGAAGAAGGUUUUCGGAUCGUAAAACUCUGUUGUUAGGGAAGAACAAGUGCUAGAGUAACUGUUAGCGCCUUGACGGUAUCUAACCAGAAAGCCACGGCUAACUACGUG
rnacentral:rRNA from 1 species